UGUCGUCAGCUCGUGUUGUGAAAUGUUGGGUUAAGUCCCGCAACGAGCGCAACCCUUAUCCUUUGUUGCCAGCGGUCCGGCCGGGAACUCAAAGGAGACUGCCAGUGAUAAACUGGAGGAAGGUGGGGAUGACGUCAAGUCAUCAUGGCCCUUACGACCAGGGCUACACACGUGCUACAAUGGCGCAUACAAAGAGAAGCGACCUCGCGAGAGCAAGCGGACCUCAUAAAGUGCGUCGUAGUCCGGAUUGGAGUCUGCAACUCGACUCCAUGAAGUCGGAAUCGCUAGUAAUCGUGGAUCAGAAUGCCACGGUGAAUA
rnacentral:rRNA from 2 species